GAUAUCGGGAAGAACACCAGAGCCGAAGGCGGCUAUCUGGACUGUAACUGACGCUGAUGAGCGAAAGCGUGGGUAGCGAACAGGAUUAGAUACCCUGGGUAGUCCACGCUGUAAACGAUGAGUGCUAGACGUCGGGUGUAUUAACACAUUCGGUGUCGCAGUUAACGCGCUAAGCACUCCGCCUGGGGAGUACGGCCGCAAGGCUAANACUCAAAGGAAUUGACGGGGGCCCGCACAAGCGGUGGAGCAUGUGGUUUAAUUCGAUGCAACGCGAAGAACCUUACCUGGGUUGGAACCCCCUGGAAUUCAUCAGAGAAGGUGAAGUGCCUUAUUUUAAGGAGCCGGGUGUUCAGGUGCUGCAUGGCUGUCGUCAGCUCGUGUCGUGAGAUGUUGGGUUAAGUCCCGCAACGAGCGCAACCCUUGUUGCUAGUUACUAACAGGUAAAGCUGAGGACUCUAGCGAGACUGCCGGUGGUAAACCGGAGGAAGGUGGGGAUGACGUCAAGUCCUCAUGGCCUUUAUGUCCAGGGCUACACACGUGCUACAAUGGCUGAUACAGAGGGCAGCGAUCCCGUGAGGGUUAGCAAAUCCUUUAAAGUCAGCUCUAGUUCGANUUGCAGUCUGCAACUCGACUGCAUGAAGC
rnacentral:rRNA from 1 species